CAACUUACUUUUCUCAUUUCCCCCACCCGUUCAAACUUCAAAAUCCCUAACCCCUUCCCUUCCCUCCUCCUGUUUUUUUUCCCCCAAAUUGAAAACCCCACCUCCACCUCCACCGAUCAACCAUCCCACCUCCGGUGUACGGUUCUCGACGACUCCACCUCCAGGCUCCAGUUCCACGACGCUAGCGUUGUUGUUGUUCUCUACUUCUCUUCACUUCGAUUCUUCUGCAACUUCCGAAUGUAUUAUUUUUUAUGCUUUAUGUUUUAUGCUGUCCAAAGAUUUGUUUUUGUUUUCUUUUUAAAUGUUAUGUACUGUUCGAAGGUAUUAUUUUUAUGUUAAUGAACUGUUGAAAAAUGUUAUCUUUUUGUUAUUAUGAAGCCCCAAAGUUUUAAGUUUUAGUUUCUCUUCACUUCGAUUCUUCUGCAAUUAUACUUUUGAAAGUGCAAAUCCUUGUUAAAAUGGUGAGAAUCAGUUUUUACAAACUGCCAUAAGUAGAUUUAUCAAGUCUAUUUAACAAUCUCAAAAUGAAGAGAGUCUUCUUCAAAUGCUUUCUAUAAACCAUUCGUAAAUAACUAAUUUGGCCAUAAAUAAUUAAGACAAAAUAUAGCCAAGAACAAACAGAUUUAGUAUAAAAUUGUGAGGCCAUAAAUUACCUUUGGGAAUGCAAAAUUGGCCAUAAAUUAACAGAUUUAGUAUAAUAUUGUUAAUUUGUUAUCCUUUAAAAGCAUAAAAAUGUAAUGAUAUGAUAAACUUUAAAAUAUUUAAGUUAAAAAGUUAAAAGUAAUUAAAUUCGAGUUAAUUGUUUUGUAAUUACUUGUAUAAUCAUUUUUUAUUUUUAUUCUCUUUUUUUAAGAAUUGAUUGUUUGUAAUUAAAUUCAAAUAAGUAAUCUUAUUUUAUUUUUUUGUUCAUUAUAUAGUAUAUACAAAAAAAAUAUAAUUUGAUAUUUGAUAUAAUUUUAAUAACAAUUAGUUUUAAGUAAAAAAAAGGGUCGGGCCGGGCUCGGGCUUCAUAUUUUCUCCACGGGCCGGGCAUGGGCAAAAUUGUAGGCCCAUAUUCCGGGCCGGGCUGAAUUUUUUUGGGCCCGGCCCAUGAACACCUCUAAAUUGGGUUGUAAGGGUUUUUAUUUUUAUUUUUAAGUUUGGCUAGCGAACUUCGAACAACUAUUUGACGAUUGGUAUGGUGGAUCAAUAUCCAUUGAAAGUAGAAGAACUGUCUUAUAUCCAAAUAUAUUUGAUGGUCAGUGUAGGAGAUCAUUGAAGAAAAUUAUUCAGAUUUUGAUUUGCAGAUUCGUGAAGAUCAAUAUUGUUUUAUGAAGAAAAAAAAUUAAACUGUAAAAGAGAAGGAAAAUGAGAGUUUUCGAUUGAUGUAGAUGAUAUAAAUAGAGAAAGCCAUAUAAUAAUAAUUUUAAUAGUCCGAUAAUUUAAAAGAAAAACUUUUAAAUAAUUUAAUGAUAUUUUAUAUUUAUUUAUUUAAUAAUAAUAAUAUUUUCCCGGACCCAGCUUAUAAAGGGCGGUCACUGCAGGCUGGGACUCCACCAAAGAACACGGUCCCAAUCGCUUGAGCUGGGGAACCACAUGCACUGUACUCACAUUACCAAACAAAACCUUCCUUCACCUAGCUAUUACUAUACGACACAUUUUGACACUCACUAAGAUUUUUGGCACUUUCCUAUCUCUCAUCACUUGGUAAAAAGCAAUCUCACGCAUAUUUUUAAAUUUUUAAAUACUUGCAUUUAAUAUUUUAUACGAUGUCACACUCAUACAGAAAAUUUAAAAGAUAUGGGUUUGAGGUGCUGCAAGUAAAGUUGUAUUUUUUGUUUCCUGUGAAAUGCCCAGGUGAAGUAAGGGGUUUGUAUUAGGUGGCUGUCUUUUCAAUAUAAUAAUAUAAUAUGAACUGUGUGAUGGGGGUGGGGGUGGAGGGGCCUUUGCAUGGCAGAUAGAGAUGAGAAAUUAAAUUUUGGAUGGAAAUUUGACAUGCACUCAUACCAUCAUCAUUAAUAAUCACAGCCAAAUUUAAAUAAAAAAACAGGGAGCGUUGUUCACUCAGAUUUGUGGUCUCCAUCACCACCUAUCCCUUUCUGAAUGGGGGGCUACCUCUUUUGGAGGGCACACCUUUUUACUAUUUAAUAGUGAUAUGUCGACCAAAUGUAGCCAUGACUCUUUGAAUUACACCCUAUUAUGUUAUUACAACAUUUGUAUUCCAUGUAUAUUUUAAAUGUAAUUAUGUAACUAUGAUCUUACCUAUAUAUUUUAUGUAUUGUGAAUUUGGAGUAAAUACUUUCUUUAUUUACAAAAUGAAUAGAAGUAUAGUUAAAAAAUAUUAUAAAAGGAUCAAAUUAAAUAUUUUAAUUAUAAUUCAAGGGUCAAAUUAGAUAUAAAUCCUUCAAUUAACAUGUCAUAUCACUUUUUUGUUAAGGGUGUAAUGACUUUUAACGAAUAAGUGACCAAAUGUAACUUUCCAUAAUUCAAUGGCAAAAGAAGAAAAUUUACCAAAGUUUAAUCACUAUUUUCAUAAUUUACCUUAAAAGAUAAGGGGUAGAUAGAUGGGCGUAGAGCAAGGGGGCCUUGAGGACAAAUAUAUUGGGUUGGGAAACAUGACACAAUGCAUUAUUGGUUUGGUCCAUAGUCCAUAUAGUAUAAGGGCCUACAAUAUGGGAAAAGGGUAUAAUUCUUGGGAAUGUAUUCCUACGGUGCCUACUACAAUGCAAAUAUUCAUUCUGAUGAGAUGUAACCAUUAUGAGCCCCCUGAUUUCGCCUGUUUCGUACAAUGGGACUUAGGGAUUGUAUUUAUUUUAAUUGGUGUCAGUGGCAGAUGAAAUCUUGCACACGUGUGUUGUGUAUCUUACUUGCUAGAUUAUUAAAUUUUUAGAUAUUUUGCUCCGAUAUAAAUGUAAGCCCUAAUUGGUAUCUUUGCUCAUUUGUGAAAAGGUACAAUCCAUGGCCUACUCGGCUAGGCGGGCCUAAUUAUUACAACUCACAAACAUGGUUACAGCCUAUGAGGGACAUAUUAGAUGCAUGGGGAAGAUUCACAUCUAUAUAUUCCUAUAUGAGAUUUAAAUGAUAUCCAAAAUCAAAACUGUAAAUUUAAUUUCGUUAUUAUUAUAAUAAAAGAAAAUUUAGAUCAACAAAAGAGAACAAGGGUUAAUCACUAUGCCAUCGCUGGCAUGCACGUGGUGGAACGUAUCUUUGAGUUUUGGGUAAAUUUUAUCAUGAGUUGGAUCAUUCGUUAAUUUGGGUAAAAAUAUAAGUUCAAAAAAAAGUUUGGACAAAAAGAAAGGCUAAUUUUCUAAACAAAUUGAGCCUUAGGUAAGAUUUUUUGACUUAGCC
rnacentral:lncRNA from 1 species